UACGGAGGGUGCGAACGUUAAUCGGAAUUACUGGGCGUAAAGCGUGCGCAGGCGGUUGUGCAAGACAGAUGUGAAAUCCCUGGGCUUAACCUGGGAACUGCAUUUGUGACUGCACGGCUAGAGUGUGUCAGAGGGGGGUAGAAUUCCACGUGUAGCAGUGAAAUGCGUAGAUAUGUGGAGGAAUACCGAUGGCGAAGGCAGCCCCCUGGGAUAACACUGACGCUCAUGCACGAAAGCGUGGGGAGCAAACAGG
rnacentral:rRNA from 1 species